CUCCGCGAGGUCUAGCGGAGGAGCGCCGCCGCCGCCGCCUGAUCUCCUCCAACGACCUCGCCAUGGCAGCGUCUCCUCCGCCGGCGUCUCUACAGCGACCUCCUUGUUCGCAUCAGAUCCUGUUGAAGCAGAGCAAGACCCGGACGUGGUGCAGUAAGCGUGCGCUUCCUCUUUCUAGCCCUUCUAGGUUGGCCACUUGUUCCAGUUUGCAGAAUUACCUUUGGAACACCUGGAGAAGGACAAUGCAGUGGCAAGGCCUACGGAAGCAUGUCAAACGGAGUUUCAUCAUUUGUUUUGAAGAAACCUCUAUUCCAUUUUAUUCAUC